rnacentral:rRNA from 1 species
ACAUAUAGGUUGUAGGGAACUGAAAGGGACCGACCCUUCGGGAGCCUAUACAGGUGUUGCAUGGCUGUCGUCAGCUCGUGUCGUGAGAUGUUCGGUUAAGUCCGCUAACGAGCGCAACCCUCGUCGUAUGUUAUAUGUGUCAUACGAGACUGCCGGUAAAAGCCGGAGGAAGGUGAGGAUGAUGUCAAGUCAGGCAUGACCUUUAUAUCCAGGGCUACACACACGCUACAAUGGUCUGUACAAUGGGUAGCCAAGCCGCGAGGCGGAGCCAAUCCUGAAAAGCAGGCCUCAGUUCAGACUGCAGUCUGCAACUCGACUGCAUGAAGCCGGAGUUGCUAGUAACCGCAGGUCAGCAAUACUGCGGUGAAUACGUUCCCGGGUCUU